AGUUAAAUCAAAUAGCUGCUGCUGUUCCUGCUACUAACCCCGGUAUACCAUCACAACCAGAAGGAUUAGAAUCUGCAAAUCUUGUAGACAUGUUUGAUGCAGGUAAUUGGAGUAACCCCGUCAAUGAAUUCUCUACUGACCUUCUGCCGGUCAAGAGAGGCGAUCCAGGACGCCGCGUCAUCCCGAUCUCCAUCGGCAUGGUGGACUUCCCAAAAGCACUUUAUGACUUUGGUUCCAGUGUCAACAUUAUACCCAGGGUACUCUAUGAAAAAUUCUUUACAUAUCCUUUAUUAGAGACAACCAUGUGUUUGCAGUUUGCAGAUCAGACGAUAACUAUUCCAAAAGGAAUAUUGAAGAACCUUUGUGUCCGAGUUGGUACCUUAUAUGCUCUAGCCGACUUCGUAGUGGUAGAGACCGGUAAUGAUGAGAGAGCACCUAUCAUCUUAGGGAGGCCAUUCUUGAACACCACCGGAGCUAUCAUCUAGGCUAGUGCUGCCAAGAUCAGUUUCUACGUUAAAGGGAGGAAGGAGACAUUUUUCUUCAAGAACAAGACUACACAAAUUCCAAAUCAAUCCAGACGUGAGUCAAGGAAGAGGACCAACAGGAGGAACAGGAACAAGCAAGUGUGGAUCGAGUCAGCUAAGAUGGUCACUGUAGUUCAUGGAGGCCAAGAUCACCAACUUAAGUCACCGUUUUUGACCAAGAAGGACGACCCAGGAAUGCCAAGCAUUUAUUGCUCCAUAAAUGGAUACAACUUCUACAAGGCAACUUGUGACACCGGAUUGGGCGUCAACAUAAUGGCCGCAGUCACCUAUCGGCUCUUGUUUGGAACCAUGCCACUAAGACCAACAUACAUUCAGCUCCAGAUGGCAGAUCAGACAUUUCGAGAAGUUAAAGGAACAAUAACUGAUGUCCCAGUCAAAAUAGACGAUCACUUUGUCUACACAGACUUUCAAGUUAUUGACAUGGAAGAAGAUGAGUACGAUCCACCCAUUAUCCUUGGAAGACCGUUCCUCAGCACCGUUAAAGCAAUUAUCUACAGUGGAACCGGAGAAGUCCAUAUGCACUUCCCCUCAGAGAAGGUACGCCGUUAUUUUACUGACCCUGACUAUGUCAUUGAAGAAUCUAAGCAGGUCAAAAAGAGACACAACCGCAACCAGAGGAGGCAGAUCAUCAAGGACGGAUGGGCAGACUAUGAAGGAGAAGUGAUAAGGUCAGAAGACGUAGAGUUUAAACAGAAUUAUCCAGAGGAGAUUGAAGCACCGAGUCAGGUAUGGAAAAUGAAGAUAACUAUACAAGAAGAGGAGGCGCUGCCGGAAGUACCGACUACGCCACCCAACGAACCUCAGGACGAUUAAGAAAAUGGAGAGUCCCGUUCGGAGCACUUAAAAACACCGAACGCCUUGCCAAAAGGUAAACUUGGUAGUUAUCCUUUCCCUUUCAAUUAUUUCAAUUAUUUAAAAUAGUUUACUUAGUUAAUCAUGUUCGUGCUAUUCUAAAAAGAAAAUAAAUAUAUAUGAAAAACAGUAAGCCCCAUGUGAGUAUACGAGUGGCAUAAAACCCAUAAGUACAUUCACUCUGGUGGCAUAAAAACAAAAAUAAAAAAAUUUCUUUUCUGCUUUGUAAAAUGAAAAUAUAAAAACAGGGAGUAAUUAUUAAGGAGUCUCAACAUGAUAAAGGCUAGAUAUUUAUGCUAACACUUAAUCAGUUCCACAAGCUUUGUUGUCUAUUUGAGCUCCACAGAAUUUAGGAAGACUAGCAGACGGAGGACAUUCUAAUCGCUGUCAGAAUGCUGCUGACUUUCAAAUACACCUCUGCCACCUGUUAGCUACAUCAAGAGAAAUUACGUCAAAAUUCAGCUUGGGGGAGAGCACCCCCAUUUAUACCGAUAAGUAUUUCUAUCUAUCUAUCUUUAUACUUAUAUUAUAUUAGAAUAUAAAAAUACAUAAACUAGGAAAAACCAAAUAAAGAUUUUAUGCUUAUAUAUAUUUUGCUUAGUGUGUUUAAUAAAUAAAUAAAGGAGCUAUGCUAAUCUGUAUCUAAUUAAAACUUAAGCAUGGAUAUGAUGAAUAGUUGCUCUGCCUAAUUUGCACAUUUUAAGUUCUCUCUCAAGUUUAGACAUAACUGUUAUAAUUUAAAGCUUGCUCUAGACCUAAACUUGUGGGAUGAAAACUUGAUCUGAAGUUUAAGUUGUUAACGGAUACGAUAUGGGAAGGUUGAGCUGCUGUUUAUCUGUUCCUAGAGAUGCUAGAAUUCUGGAGAAUUUUAUCUUUGAAAAUCUUUAAAAUGUUGCAUGAUGAGUUCCUGUAUGAUGAGAGUUUAAAUUCCUACCAUAGCCAUAUAUACAUGCUUGCUAGACUUUGAGCCACACAUUUAUUAUUUACUGCUUAUGAGCAUUGAGUGUGGUCAAGCUGUGUAGACCCUUAGGAGCUUGUCAUGUGGUUAAAUCAAGAUUUCACUUGCACGUCCACUCAUAUAUGCUACUUCUACUCCAGGAGUACCAUCCACAUAUAUCCAUCCAUUUCCAUCUCCAGAACCACCUAAAAAUAUUCUACUCCUAAUCCGGGAGAGAAUAACCAAAAAUAUUUCUGUUUUCCCUUGUGAAAUAAAUGCUCAAGUUAUCUUGUUACUACCACUUGCUAUAUUAUCUCAAGAGAUGAGUGCUCUAAAAAAAAUACGAGGAAAUAAAAAGGAGCAAGUGCUCGGAACCUCGAAAGAAAAGAAAAGUGAGACGAGAGGUAAAAAUGGACAAGUGUCCGACAGUAGAAUUAGGGGUGCAAGAUACCCACCUGAGAGAAAAGAAAAAGAAGAGCAUCUCAUUCUCCUCAUAAAGUUUCAAAGAGCAAGGAAGGUAUGUAUCGCCUCAAAGAGCAAAGUAGAAUUAGACUUCCACCACCAUUGUUUUCACCAUUGUUAUCACCAUUAUCAUCAUACACCAUUCAUUCGCCACACAUGCACAUCUUGAUUUGGCUUAUUGAUUUGUUUCUUUGGAUCCAUGGUUUGACUAUACAAUAAAUGUCUUGUAAAUAUGUAUACUUUAUCUCCCACCUAUGAGCUCCAGAUAUUAAAGCCUUAUUAGAGUAGGAUGAGAGAGAAGGCAAUGUCACUGUGCCUUAUACCACAAAUACCAUAUAUCUUGAGAGAAGGCAUAUACCAUCACUGCCUUGGUAAGGAUCCAAAAAUACCACAAAAUAGAGACUUGAAAGAAUCAUACAAGGAAUCUCUGAGUUUUAUUUGAAAAUCUGCAAAAAACUCUAGAGCUAUAGCUGAUCAAGAACAAGAGACAUGGCACUUGGCUAGACUGUUCUAUCUUUUAACCACUCAAGACAGAAGUGACAGUUGCAAGUCCCAUGGUGUAGGUAAAGUAAGUAAGUUUUAAGUCUUGACAGUUUACUCUAACUCAGAGAUGAGAUCUUAUUUAAAAGCAUGUGUACUGUCAAAUUUUUAAAAUAUUGCAACAAUUUAUGAUCCAUAGCUGAGUCUAUCCUUGCUCAGGGACGAGCAAGAGGUAAGCGUGGGGGAGUUUGUUGACGGUCCUUAAGUAUCAAAUUUAAUUAUCAAAUAAAUAAAGAAAAGGAUCCAAAUGAAAUCAACAUCUAGACUUAGGGUUUUAUCUGACAGAAUUCCACGAGUUUUGGUGUUUGUCUAUUUUUGCAGGGGGUUAUUAGGAAAUAUGGAAGAAAGGCCCACACGUCGGGAUUACGUAAAGAUAUUAACGUGCUGCGCAAUUAUCUUACAUCUAGAAGACUCCAGAAGCCACGAGACCGAAGCGGAGGCGAAACGGGGCCAGAGGCAGGGCGCCCGCCCUGUCCUACUGGGCGCCUGCCCCCUCCCUGAGUCCAAUCAGGACUCUGCUUCGCGGGAGAUCUCCACCGACCUAAAGGAUGAAUCUAAACCAUACAAUCUAUGUUGGUUUGAUCUAAUGGCCCAUAUUCACUUGAAGGGAUUAUAAAACCAGACCCCCUGGCCCCUAGAGGAGAGAGCCUCUCAACCCUAAUUCAUUGUUCCAUCAAGGGAGAAGAAGCCUCUGAUCAAGAUUAGAGCCACCACAUCAAUUAGAUAUCUAGAUUAGCAUAGCUACAUAGGAUUAGAACUAGAAGGAGUCAAUCUUCGAUUGGUUUGCGGAUCUGUUAGGAGGAUUCUUGGUAAUUCUCUAAUUGUGCUUCUAAUUGCUUUCUAAUUAUCUUUGUUCUUCAAUAUUAUGAAUAUGACUUUGUUCUACUUCAAUAUAUUGCUUAUGACUUUGCUCUACUUGCUUAUAUUCAAGAUUAUAUUGUUCUUAGUUUAUCAUAGUUAUGUACUUGGCUUAGUUAGAUUGGAUCUAUAUACAUGCUUAGGAUCGUAUAGCGUUUAUCCAUCGGAUCCAUGGGUAAAUGAUAGAUAUUGUGUAGGCGUGGUGCUUAUACCGUAUUUAUCUGCGAUUGUACCCAAUAUGCCAGAUCGUGGGGUGGUUCGUGAUAGUGACAGCUUCAUUGAUUCUUAUAUAGUCCCCCUCUCGUGUAUUGGGCUGUCAGAGCAACAUUAUUACAGGGGAGUGAUUGCUAUGUUUCUCAUAUUCCUUGCUAAUAUCACUAUGCAUGGGCGUAGUCUUGUCUCACAAUGAUUGCUAAGUAUGCUUGCACUAACUAUGAUAAUGCUAGACUAUAUAGUUGAGAAUAACUUAGGGAAUAUUCUUGUAGUUCGUUCUAAUACCAUGCUAAUGACUUUCUAGAAUAUCUAAUUGAGGUGCUUAUCAUAUUUAUUAUGUGGCUAGAUCAGAUUAGUUAUCCUUGUCACUAUUAUUAUUUCAUGUAUCUUUUAUGUGACACUUAUCCCUGUAUGAAGAGUUAGAUAUAAUGUUCUCAAUUAUAUCUACGCGAAGAGAUCAAAGUAAACUCAUAAACCCAAGAACAAUAAAACAAAGAACUUACUAGAAUUUAGAAGUCGAAAUACUGAAUUAUCCUAGGAGCAAGCCUCGGGUUAGGAGACUUGAUCCUGUAGGUACAACCUCGGAGUAGACACCGACAGGCCGGGCUUCCUCCGAUCUACACCUCGACUCUAUCUCUCUCAAUCUAGUAGAACUAAUUCUACUCUCACAUUGGAUGCUAAGCCCUAUGAGGUUGGAUCCCUAAGGGAACCUCUCUCUCUGAAUCCUCUCUGGAAAAUAUGCUAAUGAAUAAUGGGGAUUCGAUUUGUCCAGGGGCCAGGGGCCUUACUUAUAUAGCCCUUUCAAAUGAAUCUGGGCCGUCGGAUCAAACCGACCUUGAUUGAACGGUUCUCCUUGAUCCUCAAAGGCGGUGGAGCAUAAUCCACGUGAUUCACCCUGAUUGGCCACCAUAGGUGGGCGGGCGCCCAGGGGGGUAGGGCGGGCGCCCUGCCUAUGGGCCCGCUCGGCCUCCCGUUCGUUCGUGUGGCUUCUGGAACCUUCUAGACCGAGGAAAAUUGACGCACAAGUUAAUAUCUCUAUGUAAACCUGAUGUGUGGGCCUUUCUUCCAUAUUUCCUGAUAACUGCCUGCAGAAAUAGAUAAACAGCAAAACUCGUGGAAUUCUAUCAGAUCAAACCCUAAUUCUAGGUGUUGUUUGUAUAUUGGUCCUUUUCUUUAUUUAUUUCAUUAUUAAAAUUGAUACUUAAGAAACGUCAACAAAUACCCCCCAUACUUAGGCUUUUACUCGUCCUCGAGAAAAGGAUGGUUUAGAAAAAUAUCUGGGGAUUAAAACAUUGUAAACAUUCUUUUUAUACCUGUAGGGUGUUAUAAAGAUCCACUAUGUACCGUAGUCAGGGAAAUAUAUGGUCAAAAGUAGAGAUCCUUUCUUCUUCUCUAUCCUGCCACUUGGAGUUUUUGUAUAUUUUUGAAAAAGAAAUUAGCAUACCUUUUAUCCUCAUAGGUUCUCUUAGAUCACUCAUUUAUCUUUUAUAUAUCUCACUGAGGCUGUUUUAAUUUGCAGAAAUUCUCAAGCAUUCUUACCUUGCAUUUAUUGCCUGAUCAAAACGGGAUCCGAGGAGAGGAAUGCCAUACUCUUAGAUCAAAGACUUUGGAAAUUAAAAACUUGUCAACUCUUACUGGCAUAUUGCUUAUUAGAGGGACCAUGGGCUAUCAUUUUCUUCUCUCUCUUUUUUUUCAGGUGGAUACCGAGGUACCCCUAAUUCUACUGCCGGACACUUGUCCGUUUUUUCUACGAAGUUGUCGAGCACUUGCUCCUUUUUAUUUCCUCGAAAUAUUCAUAUUUUUGCAUAGCCUAUGCCUCUAACACAAUAAUACUUCGGAAGAGUGAAUCUUUCUGCAUAAAUGUCUUGAUCUUAGGAGUAUUAUAAAUCUCUCAACAAGGGCCUAACUCAUUUUGAACAAACUCAAUGCAGAGCAGAUAGCUUUUAUAAUUAUCAUAAUUAAUAUUUUUAGGUUUAGCAGGCAUAUAAAACACUGAGGAUGGUAGCUAGAAUUUUUGAAGAUUUUGAAAUAAAUUCUCCAAGCAACAAUGAUAUAAAAAAUAAGGUACUCAUACUCUACCAUCUCACAUUCCACAGUGACUUAAGCAGCACAGGGUUUUAAGAUGAUUUUACAAUAAUUGCAGGUUUUCAGGAAAUAUAACAGAGUGAGAUUGAUCAUGAUUAGAAAUAUUUUAAUCUUGUUAAUUUAUCAUGUCGGAGACAAUAUUCUGCACCAACCAAGAUAUAUGUGUAUGUGUAAAGUGUGCAGAUAUGUACCUGAAUUGUGGAGUGGUGUAGUCGGCAUGUCGGGGGAUCUCCCCCAUACUUGUUUUCUGCUUACUUGUAUAAAAAAUAAAGUAGAGACACACAGAACAUAAUAAUAAUCUUUAUUAAUCUUGAGUCAUUUAUUACAACUGACUAAUAAUGAACUGAAGCUAAUAAUAGAUCUAAGCCGAAUCUAAAGAUGAAUAACUAAAAUGCACUGCCUCAAGAUCUAAUCUAGAAAACUUAGCGGCGCUCUAACUCCCUAAUCUUCUUAUUAGCACUAGCAAGAUCACGCUUAAGACCUAGUAUAAUGGUGUUCUGGUUAGAGAGCUGCCUAUUGAUGGAGUUAACAGAGGACUGGAGCUCUAUGAUGACCUUGUCUAGCCUACAAACGUCCUCAUCAAUAUCUGCUAUAGUCUUGCGGCGCUUAGGAGGUGUCUCGAGAGCGUUGAGAGCGUGCUUCGGUGCUGUCUUUGGAGAGAUGAAGCGGACUUUGGCUGCUCUAAUCCCCUCGAAGUAAGGCCUCUCCUCCUCCAUAGUGUAACGGGUGCUGCUGAUCUCGCCGCUCCGGUUCGUCUUGACUCCAACGACCCGCUCAUUGGACCUGGGUGGUAGGAUCCUUGUGCCGGCUGGCACCUUGACGGUGGCCUCCUUCUUGGCUGACGGCCCCUUGAGAAGUAGGGGCUGCAGUGGCGCGGUGAGAACUGGUUGGGCAUAGUAGGAUUGGGUGGAGCUACGCUGGCGUGUGUUGACACUAGCUAACACCACUUAGAUACUAGGUUGUCAUCCCUAGCAUGGCGCCAGAGUGUACAAAGGUAUUUAUAAAUGUAAAGGCUCUCUAGAAAAUAAUCUAUUCUAUCCGCAAGCGCACAAAUAAAACACCUCAUUGUAGCAUUUCACCAGGAUAAGUAUUCCAGGUAUCGUUAUUUAUAAUUUUGCUCAAGGGAUCUCAAGAAGAUGGAAUUAAAUCAAGGGACAAAAUCUAUCAAGGCAUAGACUAGAGAUAAACUUGCAAGAACAUGAUUACUAAUAAGAAACUCGUCACACAGUCACAUACUUUAGCAGGGGGUAAACCAUAAAGAUAAUGAUAAUAAAGUAUAAGUUCAUGGGUAGAUGACACAGCGAUUAGAAAAUAGACUACUCCUCAUAUAUGUAGGUGAUGUCGGAUUAGCUAGAGAAUGGAUUCUAAGUUAUCUACUAACUACUAAGUCAUAAUCUACUCUAGUUAUCUACAAGAUCAUGUAUAGCAUAAAAGACUCUUCAUUCAUGUAAAAGGAACAUUGAUAAAGUAAAUCAGAACAUCGCAUGACUUACUCCACAAUACCGGUUCUGCCUGUCCUAUCAACGGAGGGUGGACUAUAUAAGAAUCAACGAAGCUGUCACUAUCGCGAACUACCACACGACCCGGCCAAUAGGAUACAUUUGCAGAUAAAUAACAUCUAAGCACCACGCUCACAUGUGAUCUAUCACCUAACUCCCUCGCGUCAAGAGCUAAGCGCUUUGCAAACUUAUACAUAAACUCAUUAUCAAUUAGAACUAUAUCAAAUAUAGAACUAGAGCAAACUAAGAACAUAAUAAUUAAAGACAUAAUGCAAUUAGAACAAUAGAAUUAGAGAAAGAUAUGAAUAAUACCAAUCUUUAUUACCGAAGAUCCGAAUCCAGAGCGUAGUGCUCUGCUUCUCUAAUUGCUAUCUAAUCAACCUCUAAACUUGAAGGAUUAGGGAGUAGCUAAUUCUAAUUAUCUGUGGGAGAGAAGCUCUAAACCCUAACUUUGAUGGCUACCUCUGAAUAAUGAUUUCUCCUCUCUCCUCCAGGGGCCAGGGGGUCUGGUUUUAUAGUCCCCUCAAGUGAACAUGAGCCAUUGGAUCAAACCGACAUAGAUUGUAUGGUUUAGAUUGAUCCUUUAGGUCGGUGGAGUCUUGCCCCGAAGCAGAGUCCUGUUUGGAGUCCAACCCUGGGCGGGCGCCCAAGGGGGGUGGGCGGGCGCCCUGCCCCCGAGCCCGAAUCGCUUCCCGUUCGUUCCCGUGGCUUCUGGACCCUUCUAGAUUGAGGAAAAUUGCGCGGCACGUAAUUAUCUCGUUAUAAGCAUGACAUGUGGGCCUUCUCUCCAUAUUUUCUGAUAAACCCCUGCAGAAAAAGAUAAACACCAAAGCUCGUGGAAUUCUGUCAGAUAAAACCCUAAUUCUAGAUGUUUGUUUUGUAUUGAUCCUUUUUCAUGUUUAUUUGAUUAUUAAUUUUAGUACUUAAGGACCGUCAACAGCGUGGUGGCAUGGCUGCUAGCUGUCGCUCUGUGUUGGCCGGGACGAGAGCGCAGGCGUCAGGGUCUUCCUUGGGCUUCUUGUUGAGGUCGUAGGGAACGACUUCCCAAUCGUUGUGGAACUCGUCAGCCAUGGAGCAGCGAGGGACUAAGCAAGAUCUAAUUGAGCAGGGAGAGAAGACUUGAAUGAAUUGGUGUUGAAAACUGACGUCAGGGGUCUGUUUAUAUAGGGGUCAAAAAGUGCCUCUAGGAUUUGCUCGGGCUACUCCCGCCGCCAUGCGUGCGUAAUAAUCCAUCCGUGCGAUUAUUUAGUUUACCAUAAAUGAGUUUAUCGUGACGGAGGAGACUGGGGCCGAGGGGAGACAUGGGCUGGGCGCCCGCCCUGUGCCUGGCUCCUCUGUGGGCCCGCCUCCUCGAGCAUGCUUCUAGAUGCAAAAUUUAUUCGAAAAAUGUAUACGUGGUCCAAAAACGUCAGAUUAAAAAGGUUGGGCUCUAAUUCUCCAUGGGAAGGUAGAAAUGGAUCACGUCUAUUUCUUCUAAUUCUUUAUUAGGCUCUAAAAAUAAUUUAAGACGUUGACCAUUUACCUUGAAGUGUGAUAGCUCCGUGAGAUGAUGAACUUAUUACCUUGAAUGGUCCUUCCCAUUUACUCUGGAGUUUUCCAUGCUCAAAAAGCUUCACCCUAGAAUUAAAAAGUAAUACCCUAUCUCCGGGUGAGAACUCCUUCUUCUUGAUCCUCUUAUCAUGCCACCUUUUGACUCUUUCUUUGUAGAUCUUCGAAUUGUGAUAUGCUUUCUCUCGCCAUUCUUCCAAUUUUGAUAGUUGCAUUCUUCUAUGAUCUCCAGUGACAUCUAGGUCCAUAUUCCAUCUCCUUAUGGUCCAGUGUGCUUUGAAUUCUAGUUUAACAGGUAGGUGGCAAGUCUUCCCGUACACCAACUGGUAUGGGGACAAUCCAAUUGGGGUCUUGUAUGUUGUCCGGUAUGCCUAGAGUGCAUCAGGUAACUUGUCCUUCCAUGUCAUUCCCAUCUCAUUGACUGUUUUCUGAAGAAUAUUCUUGUUUUCCUUGUUGGAAGUCUCUGCUUGGCCACUUGUCUGAGGAUGGUAGGGGGUAUCGACGUUGUGACGAAUUCCAUGUUUUGAUAGAUAGUGCUUGAAGCGUUUGUCGAUGAAGUGUGCUCCUCCAUCACUUAUCACUACUCUGGGGACUCCAAAUCUUGGAAAUAUAACUUCUUCAAACAUCCUCUUUGAACUGAUGUUGUCGGCGUGCUUGCAAGGUAGUGCCUCUACCCACUUGGAGACGUAGUCAACUGCCACCAAGAUGAACUCACACUUCUUUGAUGGGGGAAAUGGACCCAUGUAGUCUAUUCCCCAGACAUCAAAGAGCUCAAUCUGAAGGUUGUUGGUGAGUGGCAUGGCAUCUCUUGUGUUUAUGUUUCCAUGCCUUUGACAUGGCCCACAUCUUCUGAUAUAUUGCUUCGUGUCUUCAUACAUUGUAGGCCAGUAGAAUCCACUCUGCCAGAUCUUUGAAUGUGUACGAAAUGCUCCAUAAUGACCUCCAUAUGGUGAUGAAUGACAUCUGUCGAUGAUCUUCCAUCCUUCCUCGGUGGUCACACAUCCCCUGAGUAAGCCAUCAAAACAUACUCGGAAGAGGUAUGGCUCAUCCCAUAUAUGUGAACGACUUUCUUCAAUAAGCUUCUUCUUAUUCGCUCCUGGUGGUACAUACCCUUGAACCAUAAAAUUAAUAAUAUUUGCAUACCAGGGGUCAGAGCUGUUAAUCCUGUAGAGCAUGUCGUCCUGGAGUGAAUCAUUGAUGGGGGUUUCCUGUGGAUUCUUAAAAUGCAUUCUAGAUAAGUGAUCAGCAACAGAAUUUUCUACUCCCUUUUUAUCUUUUAUUUCCAAGUCAAAUUCUUGAAGUAAUAAGAUCCAUCUAAUCAGGCGAGGUUUAGCAUCUUUUUAGUGAGCAGAUAUUUUAGUGCAGCAUGAUCAGUGUAAACAAUUAUUUUGGCUCCAACUAAAUAAGAUCUAAAUUUAUCAAUGGCAAAGGCAACAACCAGAAGCUCUUUUUCAGUGGUUGCAUAAUUAAGUUGAGCUCCUGUCAAAGUUUUAAUGGCAUAAGCAAUUGCAUGAUGCUUCUUAUUUUUAGUUUGUCCCAAAACUGCCCCCACAGCAUAAUCACUAGCAUCACACAUAAUUUCAAAAGGCAACGACCAAUCAGGGGGUUGAAUGAUUGGUGCAGAGAUGAGUGCAUUCAUUAAUAAAUUGAAAGAUGUUAGGCAUUCAUCAUCAAAUUCGAAAGGAGCAUCCUUGGCUACCAAAAGAGUAAGUGGUCUAGCAAUAAAUGAAAAUUCUUUUAUGAAUCUGCGAUAAAAACCAGCAUGGCCAAGAAAGCUUCGAAUUCCUUUUAUAUUCAUAGGUGGAGGUAGUUGUUCAAUUACUUCAAUUUUAGCUUUGUCUACCUCAAUACCUCUUUUAGACACUAGGUGUCCCAGCACUAUUCCUUCCCUAACCAUAAAAUGACAUUUUUCCCAAUUGAGGACUUAAGUGCUUUUCUUCACAUCAUUGCAAAACCUUGUCUAAGUUUUCAAGACAACUAUCGAAAGUUUUUCCAUAUGCAGAGAAAUCAUCCAUGGAAACUUCCAUAAUCUCUUCAAUCAUAUCAGAUAAUAUAGACAUCAUGCAUCUUUGAAAAGAAGCUGGUGCAUUACAUAACCCAAAAGACAUUCUACGGUAAGCAUAAGUUCCGUAUGGGCAUGUAAAAGUGGUUUUGCUUUAAUCAUCGGGAUGGAUCGGGAUUUGGUGAUACCCUGAAUAUCCAUCUAAGAAACAGAAGAACGAAUGGUUCGCUAAUCGCUCUAUCAUCUCAUCUAUGAAAGGUAAAGGAAAAUGAUCCUAUUUCGUGGCUUUGUUCAGUUUUCUAUAGUCUAUGCACAUCCGCCACCCUGUGACGGUGUGUUGCGGAAUUAGCUCAUUCUUUUCAUUCGUAACGACAUUCAUGCACCCUUUUUUGGAUAUAUAAUCCCUGCAUGCAGCAACUUUAUAACUUCCUUUUUAACUACCUCUCUCAUCGCGUUGUUAAGUCUACGUUGGGGCUCUCGAGAAGGUGAAACAGAAGGAUCUGCCGGAAUACGAUGGGUACAAAUCAUAGGACUGAUUCCUGUAAGAUCUUGGAGUGAGUAGCCGAAAACUGAGUGAUGUUUCUCAAGAAUGGUCAUGAAUCACAGAGUUUGCUCCUGAGUGAGUUUAUCACUAAUGAUCACAAGAAACUCUGGAUUAUUGUUUAGGAAAGCAUAGGUAAGACCGGGUGGUAAAGUUUUAAGCUCUAUGGGUGGUCUAGGUGUUUCUGCAAACUCGUCUAAGGGUUUAGGUUCAGAAGGUUCAGCUUCUUCUUCUGUGAAGAAACGAGCUUCUUCUUCUAAGUCUAGUUCAUUUAAAAGCUCUAGAGAUGCAGCCUUUACCUCCUCCAUAGGAUCGGGCAAAAGAUAUGAUUCGGUCUUAUUAUUUAAGGAGUGAGAAAUAGUAAUUGGAAAUUUAAAAUCUUUUCCAAAAGAAAUGUGUAGCUUUCUAGUUUGACCUUCAUAAAGGAGUCUUAUAAAAGGUUGUCCUAUCAACAGGUCGAAGUCCCAUGUAUCACAGAUAUAGAAGUUCAGAUGAACCAUGGAGCCUUCUACCAUAAAGGGUAGGACAUUAAUAAUUCCAAGACUGGGGACUAAUCGCCCCGAAGAUUCCUUUAUGACCUUUGUUGUGCGGGUUAAAACCAAUUUUUUAAAUAAUUUAAGUGCAAAAGCUUCAGACAUGAUGUUGAUCCCCACAACAGGAUUAUAGAGAGCAUCAAAUUGAUCAGAAUCAUAAGCAUAGCGUAUAGUUAUAGGAGGUGUGUCCAAACGGAUCACAUCAGAGGAAAGCUCUGACUCCUCCAACCAUUCGCUACUCAUGACUGAGAUAAGCUCUCUCAAUUGAUGUUCACUUGGCAAACAAAUGCUAAAAUGGCCGUUUUGGGGUCUUCUAUAAAAUGGUAAUUUGAAAUGUUCCCAAAAUCAGCAAAAAGAUUAGAUUCUAUAUCCAGCAUGAAAUCAGGUGGUGGAAUUUCUUCCUUUUGUGGCUCAGAACUUGGGAUAGCUAAAGUAGAUGGAGAAUUUGGCAGAGUUUCUACUUCGGCUUCAUGGGUUUCAUCAUGAAGGGUAUUAUCCAUCUUAGCUUCUAGGAUUCUAUCUAGGAUCGCUCUAGCGUCAUCGGUAGGGAUGCGAAAGAAAGAACCUCUAGACAUUGUAUGUAGCAUUUGUUUAUGAUCUUUCUGAAGACCUCAAAAAAAGUGAAAUAAAAGAACAGGGUCUUUAAGAUUAAGUUUUGGACCAGAUUCUAAAAGAUCAGAAAAAUAUUUCUAGGAUUUUCCCAAAGUUUCAUUGUCUUUUUGUUUAAAAGAUAGGACUUCGAGUCUAAGGUCGCCGAUACGGUCGAGGGAAUAAAAAUCUAGACAAAAAUUGUCUCGCAAGACUCCCCAUUCACCUCAUUGUUUACUUACCUUCUGACUAUACCAUUGUCUAGCUUCUCCCCUUAAAGAAAAAGGAAAAAGCUUCCAACGUAAAGUUUUAUCAGAAAUGCCUUCAAUGCGAAGACAAUCACAUGUUUACUCAAAAUCUCUAAUAUGAAGGUAACUGAAAAAGAUAGGUUUUGAAUCAUGGCAAUCAACCUGGAACUCAACCUAUACUGGGAUGUUUGGAUAGGCUGUGAUGACCACCAUGGUAAAAGGUCAGUUACUGAAGGUGUUGUAGAUUCAUGGAUUGAUUUAGAAUUUUGGUUUUCCACAAGGUAAGAGUAAGGAAAAUAAAGAAUAAAAAAAGAUAAAAAAAGAUAAAAGUAUGAAUACAAGCUAGUAGUAAGACUCAAGGUUAUCUCAGCAAACCGUCUUUCUCCUCGGCAACGGCGCUAAAAAUGCUUGUUGAUAUUUGGUAACGCAAUCUGGAAUUAAUCCGCAAGUGCACGGAUAUCGGUGAGCACUUCACCCGGGAUGUUAUCCAGAGUAUCGUAUUUAUAUUUUUACCACUAGGAGAAAGCAUGCAUCUGACUAACCAGAUCUAUUACUACUAACCUUUUAGGCUACAACCACUAUGAUUCGAUGUGAGUGAUGUAUAGAGAAGACUUCAACUGCACCCUCGUUCUAACCUUGGUAAGGAUGAUCUACUGUUCUGUUGGGGAGGCUCACGGAAUCUAGACACCACAGAGGAUGUUCGACCCUCACCUAUAAACCCUAUCAAUCCUGCUAACGGGAUUAUGGGCUACAAAGGUAACUCAGAAAUGUCACUUUCCUCGCUACUACCACGGUCCGGCUAGACAGGGGAUAUCUAUGAGUAUCCUAGCCCAAACACCACGUUUACGCUAGAGAUGAUUACUCUAAACUCUUCGCGAAGAGAUCAAAGUAAACUCAUAAACCAAAGAACAAUAAAACAAAGAACUUACUAGAAAUUAGAAGUCAAAAUACUAAAGAAUCCUAGGAGCAAGCCUCGGGUUAGGAGACUUGAUCCCGUAGGUACAACCUCGGAGUAGACACCGAUAGGCCGGGCUUCCUCCGAUUUACACCUCCACACUAUCUCUCUAAAUCUAGUAGAACUAAUUCUACUCUCACAUUGGAUGCUAAGCCCUAUGAGGUUGGAUCCCAAAGGGAACCUCUCUCUCUAAAUCCUCUCUGGAAAAUAUGCUAAUGAAUAAUGGGGAUUCGAUUUCUCCAGGGGCCAGGGGCCUUGCUUAUAUAGCCCUUUCAAAUGAAUCUGGGCCGUCGGAUCAAACCGACCUUGAUUGAACGGUUCUCCUUGAUCCUCAAAGGCGGUGGAGCAUAAUCCGCGUGAUUCACCCUGAUUGGCCACCAUAGGUGGGCGGGCGCCCAGGGGGUAGGGCGGGCGCCCUGCCUAUGGGCCCGCUCGGCCUCCUGCUCGUUCAUGUGGCUUCCAGAACCUUCUAGACCGAGGAAAAUUGACGCACAAGUUAAUAUGUCUAUGUAUACCCGACAUGUGGGCCUUUCUUCCAUAUUUCCUGAUAACCCCUGCAGAAAUAGAUAAACAGCAAAACUCGUGGAAUUCUGUCAGAUCCAACGCUAAUUCUAGGUGUUGUUUGUAUAUUGGUCCUUUUCUUUAUUUAUUUCAUGAUUAAAAUUGAUACUUAAGAACCGUCAACAAUAACAAUCCUAUCGGCUGGACAAAAGUAUUAGUGUUUUUGAAGAGUACCGAUGCAACACACUGCCGAUAAAGAAAUUUACAAAUUUAGCAAAGGUUGGAUAGCCGAUAUCACACACAGGCGAAUCUGGUUGGCUUCCUCUAUCUCCUUAGUAUCUUCAUCGGCUGAGCCCUCCACCGGCUUGAGUUUCUUUUUCAUCAGCAGAGCUUUGCGGCCUUGGUUGUCCCUAUCUUGUUGAAGAUUCUUGAUAGCAUCGGGCAACUGAUUUUCUUCUUGUUCAGCCUAGGUCAGUGCUUUUUCAACUUCAUUUAGUUCAGCUAGUAGAGCUUCCUUCCUUGCCGAUAGGUCUGAGAUCUUCUGCUUUAACUUGGCACCUGAAGUUAGCAAACUGCCGAUGCUCUUGUGCUUUUCAUUGGCAAUAUGCUUCACUUGCAGCAUCUCUUCUUUGAGUUGAGCUUGGGCAGCUCUGUAAGCAAUGCGUUGAGCGGCCUUUUGAUAUUGGUUCUAAGUGAGCAGCUUGGAAGAGUGCUUCUUUGACAUCGGCAGGGACUUGGCCACGGACUGUUUUGAAGAUAACUUUUGUCGGGUCCGAAUCGUCUACUAGCUGGGCUGUAUCUUACUGUAGCAAGUUCAAUAGAUCCUCCAGCUUAGAUCUAACUUCUGCCGAUACUAUUCCAAGCGCCAAUGAAGAGCUUGCCUCUUCCCCUUCAUCAUCAGAGAUGUAGAUGGCAAAGGAGAAUAGGCAAUCGGGAGAGUCUUGUUCCUAAAAGAAGAAAAUGAGUCAGUUGAAAGCAAGUAUGAAUAGUGUAGAUCGGUCAAAUCAGAUAGCUUACUUGUUUCAAGGCAAUCUCUUGUCUUUGGCUGGAGGACAUUGUAAGUGCAUCUAGCCCUUUAGUGGGUUUUGGUGAAUUGAAUGACAACACAGUUAAAGGUCUAACAAGUUUGCUAAGUGUAUCAAAGGUUCAACAAGAAAGGAAACUUGAUGCUAUUUCGCAUAAUGUUCAAAUGAAGACCAAAGUUGUGUAUUGUUGUAAACUAAAGCUUGAUUGAUAUCAACACUCAUAUCAAGAAGAUAUUCAAGCAAGGAUCACAAUAUUGAAGAAAUGGUUUUUCAAUGGAUGCUUAACAUGAUGUGACUUGAGUAUGGCUCGAUAGGUUGAAGAUAGCAAGGAAAGGGCUUCGAGGGACUAAGCGAAGGUGAAGGGCAAGGAAUGGCUUGUAGACCGAGGUACCAUGGCUAAGGUGAAGAAGAGAGUACUUGCAUUGAGUCGAGGUACAAAUUGAGCUAUGAGGAGUCAUAUUGUGUUGAGGAUCAAAUCAUUAGUGGAAGUGACUUGAAGCCAUGGAUUGAACUCACAUGUGUUGAAAUGAUUCAAGUCACAUGCUCAAGCUAUAUUUACUCAAAGAGAGGAGACAAAGUUAAUUGCAUCCCUAAUGAAGUGAUAGUGAGAAGUGGCAUAUGAAGACAUUGAAGACUCAAGUGGUUAAAAUGGUUAUUUACUUUUGAUCUUGAGUUUAGGAUAUGUCGUACUAUAAAGAGGGAUGCAAAUUUAGUUGGUCUGAGGAAGAUAGAGUGCUCAAGUAUUAAAACUAAAUCAAAAGAGAGACACUCUAGCACUUCACGAGCACGUAGAAUAGUUUUGUUUGACUUGGGGUGUCGGAAGUCCCGACGUAUGUCGGAACAGAUGACGUAUGUCGGAAGUGAUGACGUUCGUCGGAAGUCCCGACACCUGGCCCUCUUGCUACCUCUGCUCGCGCUUGCGUCGGAAGUUUCGACGUGCGUUGGAACUGAUGACGCAUGUCGGAACUGAUGACGUUCGUCGGAAGUCCCGACACCUGGCCCUCUUGCUACCUCUGCUCGCGCUUGUGUCGGAAGUCCCGACGUACGUCGGAACUGAUGACGUAUCGGAAGUGAUGACAUGUGUCAGAACUGAUGACGCGUCGGAACUGAUGACGUGUGUCGGAACUGAUGACGUGUGUCGGAACUGAUGACGUUGACGGGUUUUGUGCAGACUUCUAACUAAGGUGAACAGUGUUUUUAGUGUAUGUCGGAAGUCCCGAGAUCCGCGUCGGAACUUCCGACGUAGAUGUGAACUGUUAGUUUUCAGCUUCUUGUAUAAAUAGCUUUCUCGACGCUUCUAACCGUUGGCCAACUUAUUCACUCGACCAGACCUUCACAAGAGCACCUCUCUAGCUCCCAAAAGCUCCUCUCUUCUAUCCCCAUUGCUCCUAACUUCAAAUCUUGCAAGGGAUUGAGAGAAGGAUUCUUGGUGAGAGAAACAUCAAAGCAAAGCUUGAGCACUUGAUUUCUUCAUCAAGCCGGUUGGAUUUGUGUUUGUUACUCUUGGAGCAAGGCUCCUAGCCGGCUAGGCGUUGCCCGUGGAGCUUCCAACUUAUGUGGUAGCCUCGGGAGGUUUGUAAUCACUCAAAUCAUCUAGUGAAAUCACCCCUCAUCUCAAGAGAUUGCUCUCUUGACUUGAGAACAAGGAUAGGGUUGAAAGAGACCCGAAAAGCCUGUGUGGCUUCCUCAACAACGUGGACAUAGGCAAGCCUUGGUGGCAAGCUGAACCAUGGGAUAAAUACCUUGUCACUUUGUGUUCUUGCUAUUUGUGUUGCUCUCUACUUGUUUAUUUGUGAUUCUAGGGUUUGGUCCCGAUCUACAAAUUGGUGGCUCUCUAAAGUCAAGGAAGCACUUGGAUAACUUCAUCUUACCACUAGGAAGUGGGGUUGUAAGUUAUUGGCUUCACAAAGUUCAUUUAAGCACUUGUAGUUCAUGUCCCGUAGGCGUCGGAACUUCUGACAGUUUGUGUUGGAACUUUUGACGACGUCGGAAGUUCGGACCUAAACUGUCAUCACUUCCGACAGUUGCUGACAAGUGACUUUGAGUUGUGUAGAAAUUUUUAGAUACGCCUAUUCACCCCCCCUCUAGGCGACAUCAAGGUCCUUACAAGUGGUAUCAGAGCUAGGCUCUCAAUUUCGGGCUUAACCGCCUUGAGAGACGAUGUCGACAAGUGAGGAGGUAUCUCUAGAACUUUUACUUUUAGAUGGCUCAAAUUAUACAUCUUGGUCUGCUUGUAUACUUGAUAUUUUUAGGGCCAUGGGUCCUCAAAUAGAGCAGAUUGUAGAUGUAAGUAUUUCACCUCCUAGUGAUAAUUUGGACUAUCUAUCUAGAGAGGAAGUGAAAUGCUUACAAUACAAUGCUCAAGCUACUAAUGUCUUAUUUAGUGCUUUGAGUGAAGAUGUUCUUGAUGCCAUCAUAUUUGGAGAUGGUGAACCACUUGAUGAUGCUCAUGUCAUUUGGACCACGCUCAAAGAAAGAUAUGGCAGCUCCAAAUGUGAUGGAAGUUGCUCUCAUUGGAGGAACCACUUGAGAGGUGCUCAACUUCACCGACAAAUGAUGAGCCUCAAGUGAUUCUCUCAAAUGGUCAAAGUGAUCAUGUGGCGUCCACUUCCUCAUCAACAUAUGACUCAUUGGAAAGUGAUGAAAUGGUUGGUGAGAACAAUGUUUUUACAUGUGGUACUUCUACUUCCUCUUGUUCUUGUGAGACUAACAUUUUGAAGGAAGAAGAAGAUUGUGAUCGAUGGAGGCUAAAUGAUGAAUCCACCUCACCGAGAAGGUCAACUCUCUAUGCCACUUCUCAUGUGGGUCUCAUGGCUAAGAAAGAGAAGAAUGUGACAAGUGAGAGUGAGAGUGAGAGUGAAGAUGAAAGUGAUGAUGAUAAGAUCGAUCAACAUCUUGCACGCCUAAGCAAGAAAGACAAGUUGAUGGUGCUCAAGCUCAUAGAGAAAAUUAAAGAUCAAGAAGAAAAACUUCACAAGCAAGAUGAGUUUGUCAUCAAAAAGAUCAAAUGCUUGGUGAAGUUGACCAAAGAGCAUGAAAAACUUAAGUGCUCUCAUGCUAGUUUGGUAAAAAGGUAUGAAAACUUGUCAAUUGAGCAAACUCAUACUAUUAACUCUCUAUUUUGUGUUGCUCAAUUAGAAGAUGAGAAUGAUAUGCUCAAGGACAAAGUGGAGAGUCUCACUAGCAAGAAUGAGACUUUGCAAGAAAGUCAUGAUGAGCUCUUGUGCUCUCAUGAGAAGCUUGUUGAUUAUCAUCUCAUGCUAGAAAUAGCUCAUGAGGUUGUGGUAACAUCGGUAAAAUCAUAUCAACCUCACACUCACAAGUGCACAUACACACAAGUUCCAUAUAUUUUAUCUUGUGCUAACAAUUGUCGCUCUCAAGCAAGUCAACUUUCUGUUGAGCAUGUACUUGUAGAAACUUGUGAUGACUCUAUUACAAAAGAAAAUGAAGAGCUCAAGAAAGAGGUUGAGAGGCUAACAAGGGAGUUGACUCAAUUGAAGGGCAAGUGCAAUGCUCAACCUUCUCAAGAUAACCGUAAAGACAUGGUGAAGAAGCUUGAGAAGGGAUCAACGGAUGCUUGCAUCAAGCUCCAUCUAGAAGGCCACAAGUCAAACAAUGGCAAAUGUUGACGGUCCUUAAGUAUAAAAUAUAAUCAUCAAAUAAAUAAAGAAAAGGAUCCAAAUGCAACCAACACCUAGACUUAGGGUUUUAUCUGACAGAAUUCCACGAGUUUUGGUGUUUGUCUAUUUCUGUAGGGGGUUAUCAGGAAAUAAGGAAGAAAGGCCCACAUGUCGGGUUUACAUAGAGAUAUUAACGUGCCGCGCAAUUUUCUACCAUCUAGAAGACUCCAAAAGCCACGAGACCGAAGCGGAGGCGAAACGGGGCCAGGACCUGGGCGCCCGCCCAGUUUCCUUUGGCGCCCGCCCACCUGCCGAGCCCAAUCAGGACUCUUUCUCUCGGGAGAUCUCCACCGACCUAUUGGAUCCAGAAUAACGUAGUACCACAUCGCCUACCAACCCAAAAAUGCAUAGAAGGGGAGGACUAUAUAAGGAGACCCCCCUGGCCCCUAGAGAAGACAGGAAAUUAUCAUAGAGAUUGAGGGGUGCCCUCGAAGGAAAACCUCUUCUCUAAAUAAUAUUUCUUUUUAGGCUUAGCAACCAAUGUAAGGUAGAAAUAGAUCUUCUAGUUUCUACUAGAUUGAGAGAGAUAGAGUGGAGGUGUGGAUCGAAGGAAGGUCGGCCUGUCGGUGUCUACUACGAGUUGUACCUGCGGGAUCAAGUCUCCUAACCCGAGGCUUGCUUCUAAGAUUCUUCAGUAAUUCGACUUCUAAUUCUAGUAAGUUCUUGUUUUAUUGUUCUUUGGUUUAUGAGUUUACUUUAAUCCUCUUCUGGUUGAGUAUUAGAGUAAUCACUUGCUAGCGUAAACGUGGUGUUUAGGCUAGGGUACUCAUAGAUAUCCCCUGACUAGCUGGACCGUGGUAGUAGCGAGGAACGUGACAUUUCUGAGUUACCUUUGCAGAUCACAUCUCGUUAGCAGGAUGGGUAGGUUUAUAGGUGCGGGUCGAACAUCCUUUGUGUUGUCUAGAUUCCGUGAGCCACCCCAAUAGAACAGUAGAUCAUCCUUACCAAGGUUAGAACGAGACUACGGUUGCAGUCUUCUCUAUACAUCACUCACAUCGAGAGACAUUCUUUGUAGCCUAAAGGGGUAGUAGCAAUAGAUUUGGUUAGUCAGAUGCACCCUUUCUCCUAGUGGUAAAAAUAUAAAUACGAUAACUCUGGAUAACCCCCCGGGUGAAAUGCUCACCGAUAUCCGUGCGCUUACGGAUCAUUUUCUAAUUGCGUUACCAAAUAUCAACAAGCAUUUCUGGCGCCGUUGCCGGGGAGAAAUAGCGUUUGCUGAGAUAACUUUGAGUCUUGCUAUUAUCUUGUAUUAUACUUUUAUACUUUUAUUCUUUUAUCUUUUAAUUUUUAUCUUUAUGGAUAACUCAAAUUCCAUACCUAUUAUUGAAUUCUCUGCACCUUCGUAGACCAGCCAUAGACCAUGGGAGUCAACACGUCCUGCCCCUAAUUAUGAUCUGUGUCCGGAGUUGAUUGCAAUAGGUCAAAACCAACCCUUUUCUAUAGCCGAGGUCCUAUCUUUUAAUCAAGAAGAUAAUGCACUUUUAGCUACACCUAGGGAAUUUGUUAAUCUUUUUAUAAAUUCUAGUUUAGACCUAGCCCUACAAGACCAUGUUUUUUCUCGAUAUUUUCACAUUGGUCUUAAUCAUAUAACCUUUGGUAGAGUCCUUCUUUCUUUAUCUAUUAGUAAAGGAAGGUAUGUCUUCAUUCGCGGACAUCCUUCUUGCACUAGUCUUCAUAAAAAUAUCCAAGAGAUAGAGAAGGAAUCAUCUCCCAGACGAGGAAAGGAAGUUUCCAUAGCCAAUUUCCAAACAUUUCAAUCCCAUAAUUCGGCUAUCCAUCCCAUCCUUGAGCUUAAUAGUUUCUACUAUGCUCUUUCUCUUGAACCUCCCCAUAAUCCUAUGAAUCUAUCUAGACAUCUCAUGCAUAAGAAGGAGGAUCAAGAAGAGCAACAUCAAUGGCUAGAGGGCAUUAAAAAUCCAUGUGCUAUCACCAUUGAAUGGAUAUAUAAAACAAACUUGAGAGACAAUCCUAGAGGAAUUUUAAGCAUUCAUGAAGAAUCAUCCUUGGAGUUUGAGAAUGAGAGAAACAAUAGUGAGCAUGGAAGUUAUUUCAUAAAUACCUUACCAAGUCCUUGCUCAUAUAAAACAUCUCCCCAAUCAAUCGGUCUCUCCAUCAUCACCACAUUUGAGAUCUCCAACCCCCUCUUCCUUUCUAUUUAUAAAAACUUUAAAAGGGCGGUUGUCGAUGCAUAUGUCUAUAAUAAAUAUUGUAGAUCUCGUUGAGUUGAUCUUGAUAUAGGUAGGUGUUGGAGGGGAAACCACUUCACCAACAUAACUUGAUGGUUUCCCAAGGAUAAGCUUAGCAAGCACUUAUCAGAUCGUAACAUGAACUUCUAAUUAUUUGCAACAUUGCCUUGUGUAUUGAGCAUAUUGAGAUAAUUAUAGAAAUAUUCCUUCGGGUAUUCUUGCCACUAACCUUUCCAGGAUUGGAGCAAGAAGAUCGGAUGAAUGACAAGCGCAAGGUAUGCCCAACCAAUCAUCAUGCAACAUUAAAUUAAAUUCAUCCAAUCUUGAAUUUUGGGGGAGUACUUUACAUAAAACAUCCUUUGCCAUGCUGCUAUAUUGGUUGUCCUUACCUUUGAGACAUGCUCAAUUUGUUAAAUACACUACUUCAUCUCCACUUGAGUAGAUCUCUAUAAAAGCCAUCAUGCUACCUUUGUUUAUCCUAGUAAGUGUUAGUUUGGAAGUACUGGACACACUUCCAAUGGCAUUUAAAUUAAGCAUGGUGCUUAGGUUAAAUAGCCUUCCUUAAUCUGAUUAGACAUGGAGUCUAGUUUGGUUACUGAACUAAAAACUGCUUGAGUAGAUAUUGGUAUAAUUUGUGGGACUAACCCCUGCAGGAGAACUUUCAAUAUUAACCUGGGAAGUCCUGAGAUAAACUCACAUUGGAGAUGAAGAAAGUGACACAUGAAGUUUAACAAUUUGCACAAGAAAGACGUAGCUCAUAAGAGAUGAUUCAUGGAGGGUGCCAUAAACACGAUGCACAACCGCUAAGAAAGGAAAGCUUCCACAAGGUGAUACUGUACCAUCACUCUUCAAGUAAGGUAACAUCUUAAGGUACUUGACUAACACUUUUAUAAGCUCCUCCUUGGUUCUGGCAUUCACAUAAAUAAAGAGACAAACAUGUAUGAUUUAUAACUCCAAAUUAACCAACUCAAUUAAUUCAACAUGUUUAGUCCUUUAAUCUUUGUUCUUAGUACUACCUUCGUGACCCCACACUCCUAAUCAUAUAAGCUAAAGUAUUGCACAUGCAAUCUUUGGAAGGUAUAAACAAAACAUAAAUAUAGAUAGAUUAUCUUUCCAUUAGGUCGAGCCAUCUGAUCUGACAAAUGCUACACUCAUGAUCCAUCAACUUUGUCUUGGUCACUAUGCUUAAGGUUAGAGAAGAACAAAUACACUUUUGGUUCUGUUGGUGUUUUCCACCAACAGGACCCAUGCACUUGAUCUCUACCUUGUCUCUAUGAGCAGGAACACUUCGAGCAUAAUAUGAAGGAGUUUUACAACUCCCAGAUUCCACCAAGUGAAGAACUAGGAUCUACGAGCACAAACACACUAGAGAUACUGGACGCUCAGGCAAUCACUGCCCUGAGAUGCUUGAGGACGUGAACUACAUCAACAACAAUAACAACUAUUACUAGAACCGUCCUCAACAACAUCAAGGUUGGAAUCAACAGAGGCCUAAUUACUCAGAGAGGUGAUCUAGGACGCCCCGUCAUCCCGAUCUCCAUCGGCAUGGUGGACUUCCCAGAAGCACUCUGCGACUUUGGCUCCAGCGUCAACAUUAUGCCCAGGGUUGCAGAUCGGACACUCAGUUUCCCAAAGGAAAUAUUGAAGAACCUCUGUGUCCGAGUUGGUACCUUGUAUGCUCUAGCAGACUUCAUGGUGAUAGAGACUGGUACUGAGGAGAGGGCACCCAUCAUCUUAGGGAGGCCAUUCCUAAACACUAGAGUUGUCAUCUACGCUAAUGCUGCCAAGAUCAGUCUCUACAUCAAGGGGUAGAAGGAGACUUUCCUUCAAGAACAAGACUACACAAAUUUCAGAGCAAUCCCGACAUGAACCAAGAAAGAGGACCAACAGGAGGAACAGGAACAAGCAAAUGUGGACCGAGUCAGCUAAGAUGGUCACUGCAGCUCAAGGAGGUCAAGACUCAAGUCACCUUUCUUGAUCAAGAAGGACGACCUUGGUGUUCCAAGCAUUGAGUGCAAAAUCAACAUAUACUCUUUUUAGAAGACACUCUACGACACCGGAUCUGACGUCAACAUAAUGGCCGUAGUCACUUAUCAGCUCCUGCAUGGAACCAUGCCCCUACAAACAACAUACAUUCAGCUCUAGAUGAUUUUCAGGGCAUUGACAUGGGAGAAGACGAGUAUGAUCCACCCACCAUCCUUGGAAGACCGUUCCUCAACACUAUCAAAGCAAUCAUCUAUAUUGGAACCAGAGAAGUCCACAUGCACUUCCCCUCUGAGAAGGUACGCCACUACUUUAAUGAUUCUAACUAUAUAGUUGAAAAUUCUAAGCAGGUCAGGACAAGAAGAAGACAACGCAACCGCAACCAGAGGAGGCAAAUCAUCAAGGACGGAUAGGUAGACUACGAAGGAGAAGUGAUAAGGUCUGAAGACAUAUAGCUUGAAUAGAACUGUCCAGAGGAGACUGUAGCACCGAGUCAGGUGUGGAGAGAAAAGAUAGUUAUACACGAAGAGGAGGCACCGCCGGAACCACCGACUACGCCACCUAGCGAAUCCCAGGACGACUGAAAACACAAGGAGUCCCAUUCGGAGGACUUAAAAACACCGAACGCCUUGCCAAGAGGUAAACUUGGUAGUUAUCCUUUUCCUCUCAAUUAUUUAAUCACGUUCAUAUCAUCUCGAAAAAAAAUAAAAAAAUAGUAAGCCCCAUGUGAGUAUGCUCAUGGCAUAAAACCCAUAAGUACAUUCACUGUGGUGGCAUAAAUAUAAAAUAAAUAAGUUUUCAUCUUACAAUAAAAAUAUAAAAAUAAUAAGUGCAUGAUCCUACUAAAUAAGUAACAUUUAUUGAGGAGGCUCAACAUGAUAAAGGCUAGAUAUUUAUGCUAACACUUAACCAGUUCCACAAAGCUUUGUUGUUUAUUUGAGCUCCACAGAAUUCAAGGAUCAAAGAAGACUAGCAGACGGAGGACAUUCUAAUCGCUGUCAGAAUGCUACUGACUUUCAAAUACACCUCUGCCACCUGCUAGCUACAUCAAAAGAAAUUACGUCAAAAUCCAGCUUGGGGGAGAACACCCCCAUUUAUCCAGCUAAGUGUUUCUACUCGCGAUUAUACUUUAUUCAAAUAAUAAAAGAUGCAUAAUCAUAAAAACCCAAAUAAAGAUUUUGUGCUUUUAUAUAUAUCUUUGCUUAGUUUGCUAAAUAAAUAAAUAAAUAAAGUUUGCUAUGAACCCUCAUGAUAAACUCUCACAUGGAAAUGAUGAAUAGUUGCUCUGCCAUGACUAGUUCUUAAAAUUAAAAUCUCUCUCAAGUUUAGGCAUAACUGUUAUAAUUUAAACCUGCUCUAAACCUGAACUUGUGGGAAGAGUACUUGAUCUAAAGUCUAAGUCGUUAACGGAUAUGAUAUGGGAAGGUUGAGCUGCUGUUUAUCUGUUCCUAGAUAUGCUAGAAUUCUAAAGAAUUUUAUCUUUGAAAAUCUUUAAAAUAACACAUGAUGAGUUCCUGUAUGAUGAGAGUUUAAAAUCCUACCACAGCCAUAUAUACAUGCUUGCUAGACUUUGAGCCAUAUAUUUACUUUUUACUGAUUAUGAGCAUUGAGUAUGGUCAAGCUGUGUAGACCCUUAGGAGCUUGUCAUGUGGUUAAAAUCAAUAUUCACUUGCACGUUCACUCAUACAUGCUACUUCUACUCCGGAAGUACUAUCCACAUAUAUCCACUCAUUUCCAUCUCCACAUUCACCCGAAAUUAUUCUACUCCUAAUCCGGGAGAGAAUAGCCAAAAAUAUUUUCCUAUCCCUGUUAUUCCCUGUGAAAUAAAUGCUCGAGUUAUCUUGGUUACUACCACUUGCUAUACUAUUUUAGGAGAUGAGUGCUCUAAAAAAAAGAAGAAAAAAAAUAAAAAAAAAAUAAAUAAUAUACGAGGAAAUAAAAAGGGGCAAGUGCCCGGAACCUCGAAGAAAAGAAAAAGUGAGACGAGAGGUAAAAAUGGACAAGUGUCCGACAGUAGAAUUAAGGGUACAAGAUACCCACCUGAGAGGAAAGAAAAAGAAAAUAUAGAGCAUCUCAUUCUCCCCAAAAAGGUUCAAAGUGCAAGAAAGGUAUGUAUCCCCUCAAAAGAGCAAAAGUAGAAUUAGACUUUCACCAUUAUUAUCAUCAUCAUCACCAUACACCAUUCAUUCGCCACACAUGCACAUCUUGAUUUGACUUAUUGACUUGUUUCUCUGGACUCAUAGUUUGACUAUGCAAUAAAUGUCUUGUAAGUAUGUAUUAGCUGUCUCCCACCUAUGAGCUCCAGAUAUCAGAACCUUAUUAGAGUAGGGUGAGAGAGAAGGCAAUAUCACUAUGCCUCAUACCAAAAAUACCACAUACUUUGAGAGAAGGCAUAUACCAUUACUGCCUUGGUAAGGAUCCAGAAAUACCACAAAAGAGAGAUUUGAGAGAAUCAUAUAAGGAAUCUCUGAGUUUUAUUUGAAAACUUGCAAAAACUCCAGAGCUAUAGCUGAUCAAGAACAAGAUACAUGGUGCUUGACUUGACCGUUCUAUCUUUUAACUGCUCAAGACACAAGUGACGGUUACAAGCCCCAUGGUGAAAGGUAAAAUGAGUAAGUUUUAAGUCUUAACAGUUUAUUCUAACUCAGAGAUGAGAUCUUGCUUGAAUGCGUGUGUACUUUUAAGAAAUAAAACCACUGCAGAAACUCUUGAGUUCAUCCUUGCUCAGGGACAAGCAAGAGGUAAGCUUGGGGGAGUUUGUUGACGGUCCUUAAGGAUAAAAUAUAAUCAUCAAAUAAAUAAAGAAAAGGAUCCAAAUGCAACCAACACCUAGACUUAGGGUUUUAUCUGACAGAAUUCCACGAGUUUUGGUGUUUGUCUAUUUCUGUAGGGGGUUAUCAGGAAAUAAGGAAGAAAGGCCCACAUGUGGGGUUUACAUAGAGAUAUUAACGUGCGGCGCAAUUUUCUACCAUCUAGAAGACUCCAGAAGCCACGAGACCAAAGCGGAGGCGAAACGGGGCCAGGACCUGGGCGCCCGCCCAGUUUCCUUGGGCGCCCGCCCACCUGCCGAGCCCAAUCAGGACUCCUUCUCUCGGGAGAUCUCCACCGACCUAUUGGAUCCAGAAUAACGUAGUACCACAUCGCCUACCGACCCAAAAACGCAUAGAAGGGGAGGACUAUAUAAGGAGACCCCCCUGGCCCCUGGAGAAGACAAGAAAUUAUCAUAGAGAUUGAGGGGUGCCCUUGAAGGAAAACCUCUUCUCUAAAUAAUAUUUCUUUUUAGGCUUAGCAACCAAUGUAAGGUAGAAAUAGAUCUUCUGGGUUUCUACUAGAUUGAGAGAGAUAGAGUGGAGGUGUGGAUCGGAGGAAGGCCGGCCUGUCGGUGUCUACUCCGAGUUGUACCUGCGGGAUCAAGUCUCCUAACCCGAGGCUUGCUUCUAAGAUUCUUCAGUAAUUCGACUUCUAAUUCUAGUAAGUUCUUAUUUUAUUGUUCUUUGGUUUAUGAGUUUACUUUAAUCCUCUUUCGGUUGAGUAUUAGACUAAUCACUUGCUACCGUAAACGUGGUGUUUAGGCUAGGGUACUCAUAGAUAUCCCCUGACUAGCUGGACCGUGGUAGUAGCGAGGAACGUGACAUUUCCGAGUUACCUUUGCAGAUCACAUCUCGUUAGCAGGACGGGUAGGUUUAUAGGUGCGGGUCGAACAUCCUUUGUGUUGUCUAGAUUCCGUGAGCCUCCCCAAUAGAACAGUAGAUCAUCCUUACCAAGGUUAGAACGAGACUACGGUUGCAGUCUUCUCUAUACAUCACUCACAUCGAGAGACAUUCUUUGUAGCCUAAAGGGGUAGUAGCAAUAGAUUUGGUUAGUCAGAUGCACCCUUUCUCCCAGUGGUAAAAAUAUAAAUACGAUAACUCUGGAUAACCUCCCGGGUGAAAUGCUCACCGAUAUCCGUGCGCUUGCGGAUCAUUUUCUAAUUGUGUUACCAAAUAUCAACAGCAAAGUCAAGGGACAAGCUAAAAAUGUGCAGUCUGUCCAAAAUGCAGCAAAUGUGCUCAAGGCUAUGAGGGUUGAAGAUUGUGGCAGUGCUGCAUCCCAGUGCGGUGGUGCUGCAUCUAGUCAGAAUAGGAAAGCCCCCA
rnacentral:lncRNA from 1 species